ACUAGCUUAGUUGGUAAAGAAUCUGCCUGCAAAGCAGGGAGACCCUGGUUUGAUUCCUGGGU
rnacentral:tRNA from 1 species